GAAACCUAGUAAUAGAAAAUGGAUAAAUCAUAUUGAAAAUCAGAUAAAAUGCAGGGAAAUUCAAAAAAUAAAUUACAGAUAUUAGUUUAUAUAGCAAGUGAAUAGUAUUGGACUUCUGUAAGAAAGGCUGGGAUCCAGAUCCGUUUCUGACUUUUGUUAGCUUUGUGAUCCUGGCUUGUGAAUAUGAUUUGUCCCUGGCUAAGUCUUCAUCUGGAGAAUAGGAGUGGUACUACUUGCUCCACAGGAUGGGAAACUGCUUGGCAAACCUGAAAGCCCUCUCGAAUUAUUGGCUCUUGUCAGACUUAUCCAGUCAGUUUGCUAUUAUUGAACAGAGGUAUGUUUACUAAAUUCUUCCUUUAUGUUGAAUUGAAUUUUCUCUCCUGCAGUCUCCACUAGUUAGUUUUUGUUCUUUCUUUUGGAGCAAAAAGUUCUUCCCUUUAACUGCCUUCAUAAUACACAAAGAUCUGGCUUUCUGGCUCCCUUCCUCUCUUCUCCAGACUAAAUAUUCCUAGUUUUUUCAACUGUUCAUCAUAUAACAUAGUUUCUACAUUCUACUCUACCUCUUCUACAAUGUCCUUCCUACUCCAUUUCACAAACUUUCAUUGUCCGGCUUAAAAUGUAGCCCCCAGAGAGGUACACAGAAUUCCAAAUGUGGCCUCAACGAAUGCAAAACAUAAUAAAACUUUAUAUUAUGUAUAUGUAUGUAUAUAUCCAUAUACGUACACAUGUAAACUAUAUAACAGCUUUAUAACUGGACAUUGUGCUUUUUGCAUGAAAACUAGUCUUGUACUGUAUCUGGGAUUAAAUGACUGAAAUUUUAAACUUCCUUUUAACAAGCAAUAUUUUUAACACUUGUGAUUGUAUUUCACAUUUCCAAAGGAGCUUUCAUAAUAAUGAACCAUGAUAUCGUUUAGAUUUUUGUGAUGUCAAGAAUGUAAACAAGCUGAUGUCAAAUGUAGAUGUAUUUCUUUUAUAAAACUAAAUUGAAUGUGACAAUAUUAUAUCAUCAUCAUAAAAGGUAGCUUGUUUAUACAUUACAGCUGGCACUAAAAAUGUUUUCUGUGUUACAGAACACUGUGUCAUCUUGGUAUCUUGCCAAAUACUUAGUAAAAUAGACUACAUUGUGAAAGAGUAGUAGGAAAUUGUGAGAUUUUAGACAAUACCUUUGAUAAUACAUCAAGCUCCUAGAUGGUUAUAUGAAGAGAGCUUCAUAUGUGGGACUGGCAUAUCCUUAAUACUACUUUCUGUCUGUCUAUAUGAUAGUAACUUCUAAGACAGAUCUCAACAUUGGAAGAUUCUAAAAACAUGUUCAACUUACUUUCAAAUAAAAAAUAGGUGGAAACUAAACAAUCAUAUGAUCCUUGUAGUUUGAAAUAUAAAAAACAUUGUUCCAUUUGAUUUGUCAGUACAAUUGGAAAAUCAGGACCAAGGAAGUCACUUGUUUCCUUUGAAAUAUUUUAUUGUAGAGCCUGUUUUUAUCUUUCAACUAUUUUAAUUCUUUUAGUUAUUAUGGGGACUUGAUGUUUAUUUUAAAUUUUUACAGGUAUCUGAUAAUAUUAUUAAAUCUUACCAUUACGUUUUCCUAAAAUAAUUCACAUUUAAGGAUAUUUGAGAAUCAUCUCUGGCAUAGUAGAUCGAUUUGGCUUCUGUGUAGGGAAAAGCUGGAGGUUCUAGUACUGCCUCUUACUAAUCUGUAUCUGGUAAAGGAAGCUGUCUCAUCUGAAUUCCAUUACAGGAAUGAAAUCACAGAUCUGGUGUCCUCACACCCACUCAUGUUUAGUUAUCACUUUUUGAAAUUUGUAAAGUAUCUUUAAAAGAGACUUUCUGCUAAGUUGGACAGAGAGCCCAAGUCCCCCAGGACAAAGUGACUAAGGUUUAAGAAGGACUUCCUCAAAGCCUGCCUCUAGAAUGUAGCUACACUGAAAACAUUAUCCCCAAUUUUGCAGGGAAUGAAACAGAGGACCUGGGAAAUUAAGAGGUGUGUCAUGUAGCUGAUUAAUGUGCCAUCGAAGAGUCGGACCUUUGUCAACUGACUACAAGUCCAGUGUUUUUUUUCACUCUGCCAUAUGCCUCACCAUCUUCUCCAGUUAAUUUCAAAUAUAUUUAUUUUUAAGUGAUUAAAAUAUUUGUUUUUGGCAUGCAAACUAAUAAUUUGAUUCUCUUUGUCAAUUAAAUCUUGAAAGAGCACCUUUUAACACUUAAAAAAUUUAGUAUAAAAUAUAUUUUAAGGCCAUAUAUUUCUUCAUAAGACAUUUGAGCUGAGCAUACAAAAUUGUUUUUGCUUUUAACAGAUUUAGAUCUUCUAUAUAACAAUUUAACCAUAGGAAAUAAAGAUAUUGCUGAUGGUAAAGUUAAACAAAUGAACUAUUCUCAAAUGUCACAUAAUUGAAAUUUUGUCAUAGAGUUUUCUAUUCAGUUUCUUUGUCAGAUUGGCCUUUGAUUUGAUAUGUUAAUUAUUUUUGUUGAUUUGACUAAAUACUGAUACAGAAAACCUUGUUUAGUUAUUGAAAGCUGGUUCAGUAUCUCUGCCAUAGAGAAAAGAUCAGAGAAAAGAAAUAACUGGUGUUUAUUAUUUAUAGUUAAUUUAUUAUGCCUUUGGUGUUUUUGGUGUUGGAAGAAUACAUUUUUGGAAUUCUUACAUUUUUUUCUUUUCUCUAAAGUAUUAGAAAACUUUAUCUACAAUAACAGCCAAAAAUAAUGCAAAACUAUAUUUCACCAAGAAGGAACAGCCAAGAUUAUGGCAUAAGAUGGUGUUCUUAAGGCCAGUUUUUGUGAGCUUUGAAAAACACACUCCCUUCACUUUUCUCAUCUCAUUGUGUGGCUGAUUGGUUUGGAGAAACCCCCCGUAGGGAGAAGGGGAGCUCAUACCUG